GCGAAAGUAGCUCAGCUGGUAGAGCAUAACGUUGCCAACGUUAGGGUCGUCGGUUCGAAUCCGAUCUUUCGCUCAA
rnacentral:tRNA from 1 species